CCUCAUUUUCUUGGCGGGAACUGGUCUUGUAGUCCCACUCCCCAUUAUGUACAGAAGCAAAGGGAAAAGCUCCAGCCCCUACACGCCCCACCCCCGGCAUCAUGUCUUCGGUGCCAUGCAGCUUCCCGUCUGCCAGUUCUAUCCUCAAGCACCACGACACCA
ensembl:snoRNA